rnacentral:rRNA from 1 species
UACGGGGGGGGCAAGCGUUGUUCGGAAUUACUGGGCGUAAAGGGCUCGUAGGUGGCCAACUAAGUCAGACGUGAAAUCCCUCGGCUUAACCGGGGAACUGCGUCUGAUACUGGAUGGCUUGAGAUUGGGAGAGGGAUGCGGAAUUCCAGGUGUAGCGGUGAAAUGCGUAGAUAUCAGGAGGAACACCUGUGGUGUAGACGGCUUCCUGGACCAUCACUGACGCUGAGACACGAAAGCGUGGGUAGCAAACAGG